GACGAACGCUGGCGGCGUGCCUAAUACAUGCAAGUAGAACGCUGAAGAGAGGAGCUUGCUCUUCUUGGAUGAGUUGCGAACGGGUGAGUAACGCGUAGGUAACCUGCCUUGUAGCGGGGGAUAACUAUUGGAAACGAUAGCUAAUACCGCAUAACAAUGGAUGACACAUGUCAUUUAUUUGAAAGGGGCAAUUGCUCCACUACAAGAUGGACCUGCGUUGUAUUAGCUAGUAGGUGAGGUAAUGGCUCACCUAGGCGACGAUACAUAGCCGACCUGAGAGGGUGAGCGGCCACACUGGGACGGAGACACGGCCCAGACUCCUACGGGAGGCAGCAGUAGGGAAUCUUCGGCAAUGGGGGCAACCCUGACCGAGCAACGCCGCGUGAGUGAAGAAGGUUGUCGGAUCGUAAAGCUCUGUUGUAAGUCAAGAACGGGUGUGAGAGUGGAAAGUUCACACUGUGACGGUAGCUUACCAGAAAGGGACGGCUAACUACGUG
rnacentral:rRNA from 1 species